AUUGAACGCUGGCGGCAGGCCUAACACAUGCAAGUCGAGCGGAUGAAGGGAGCUUGCUCCUGGAUUCAGCGGCGGACGGGUGAGUAAUGCCUAGGAAUCUGCCUGGUAGUGGGGGAUAACGUCCGGAAACGGGCGCUAAUACCGCAUACGUCCUGAGGGAGAAAGUGGGGGAUCUUCGGACCUCACGCUAUCAGAUGAGCCUAGGUCGGAUUAGCUAGUUGGUGGGGUAAAGGCCUACCAAGGCGACGAUCCGUAACUGGUCUGAGAGGAUGAUCAGUCACACUGGAACUGAGACACGGUCCAGACUCCUACGGGAGGCAGCAGUGGGGAAUAUUGGACAAUGGGCGAAAGCCUGAUCCAGCCAUGCGGCGUGUGUGAAGAAGGUCUCCGGAUUGUAAAGCACUUUAAGUUGGGAGGAAGGGCAGUAAGUUAAUACCUUGCUGUUUUGACGUUACCAACAGAAUAAGCACCGGCUAACUUCGUG
rnacentral:rRNA from 1 species